CCUUGAAAUACCACCCUUUAAUGGCUGGUGUUCUAACGUAGACCCGUUAUCCGGGUUGCGGACAGUGUCUGGUGGGUAGUUUGACUGGGGCGGUCUCCUCCCAAAGAGUAACGGAGGAGCACGAAGGUUGGCUAAUCCUGGUCGGACAUCAGGAGGUUAGUGCAAUGGCAUAAGCCAGCUUGACUGCGAGCGUGACGGCGCGAGCAGGUGCGAAAGCAGGUCAUAGUGAUCCGGUGGUUCUGAAUGGAAGGGCCAUCGCUCAACGGAUAAAAGGUACUCCGGGGAUAACAGGCUGAUACCGCCCAAGAGUUCAUAUCGACGGCGGUGUUUGGCACCUCGAUGUCGGCUCAUCACAUCCUGGGGCUGAAGUAGGUCCCAAGGGUAUGGCUGUUCGCCAUUUAAAGUGGUACGCGAGCUGGGUUUAGAACGUCGUGAGACAGUUCGGUCCCUAUCUGCCGUGGGCGCUGGAGAAUUGAGGGGGGCUGCUCCUAGUACGAGAGGACCGGAGUGGACGCAUCACUGGUGUUCGGGUUGUCAUGCCAAUGGCACUGCCCGGUAGCUAAAUGCGGAAGAGAUAAGUGCUGAAAGCAUCUAAGCACGAAACUUGCCCCGAGAUGAGUUCUCCCUGAGAC
rnacentral:rRNA from 1 species